UUCUAUCUACAAUGUUCAAUCCCAACUUUUCUGAGUCCUAGUACGCAAGGAAUGGUCUCAGCGAUGCUCGACUAUCUCGGCCCCAUCGACGUAAUCAACUUCUGGCUGCUGCAAAGAAGGAGAACAAAAAGUCUCGGGAUUAAUAAGGUG
rnacentral:rRNA from 2 species